CCUCCCCUCGAGCAGCGGCGGCGGCGGCGCCCUCCCUCCACGAGCGGCGACGGCGGCUUCACCACCACCAGCGGCGCGGCGGCGUCCUCCCCUACCACUGGCGGCGGCGGGGGCGGUAGCGCUCGGGGAGGCGUCGGUGGCCCGCUGGCGUCCAGCGGCGGCGGUGCCCCUCCCCUCUGCCGGAUCCAACGGGAGGGGAGCUGCGGCGGCCUGGCGUCCCUGCGACGGCGGCGGCGGCUGCGGUUCGACGGUGAAGGGUUCCGCAAAAUUUCGUUUCACAUUGUGAACGUCCUGAAAAAGUUGGCUUGUUUGGUGAAGCUAAGGUGCUUUUCGACAAUGACAACGUGGAAUAGUCUACACAAUCACAUCAUGAAUUGAAAUAUUAAUUAUUUGGAUCUUUGUAUUAUUCUCCUAAUUCUGUCCAGGUACAUAGAAUGAUGUCACUAGCUUCAGUGCACGACAUCAACUAAUUAAUAAAUGUCAGGCUACUUUUUAAAAUAAUAUUGCACAUAUAACUUUCAUAUUUCCUUACCUGUACAUACAAGUGUAAAUUAAUUUUUGUGAAAACUAUUAUCAAACUAUAGCAAAACAACGUA